rnacentral:rRNA from 1 species
GACGAACCGUGCGAACGUUGUUCGGAUUCACUGGGCUUAAAGGGUGUGUAGGCGGUGUGCCAAGUCAGGGGUGAAAUCUUUCGGCUUAACCGGAAAACUGCCUUUGAUACUGGCACGCUCGAGGGAGGUAGGGGUUGCGGGAACUACCAGUGGAGCGGUGAAAUGCGUUGAUAUUGGUAGGAACGCCGGUGGCGAAAGCGCGCAACUGGAUCUCUUCUGACGCUGAAACACGAAAGCUAGGGGAGCAAACGGG